ACCUGGGUGGCUCAGUUGGUUAAGCAUCUGAUUUCAGCUCAGGUCAUGAUCUUGCAGUUUGUGAGUUCAAGCCCCACCUUGGGCU
rnacentral:tRNA from 1 species